rnacentral:lncRNA from 1 species
GGGGAAAGAGCUAAGCAGAGGUGCAAAGUGCAGCCUUCGUCUCAUCCCACAGGGAGCUCAGGAGGGGGAAUUGCACUGAAGAUUUGUCCCAUCGUGAAGCAAGAGCACUGGAACUUACACUCCACCAUCAGAGGCCCAGAGAUGGGGAGGGAGUUGGACAAGAUCACACAGAGCACUGAGAGCUGGUUAAGGGCCCUGUCACAGGAGAACAAAGAAGGAAGGCAGAGGAGAUCAUGCUCCGCCCAGCAGGGAAUCUCCAUUUUUUUCAGCCUCAUACCUUGGAAAGUACAAAGGAGUGAGAGCUGGGACUACCAGCCAGAGGGUUCAUGGAGGUAGUGGGAGGGGAAGAUGGGUUCUGCAUGGAGCCACUCCAGGGACUUUUCUUCUGUCUCACAGCCUGACAAUCACCUCUAGCUGUUCUCAGUCCCGUUCUCAUCGAUGACCUCGUCUCCUGUUUUUGUACAAUAUCUAGGUGACCUUCUCUUCUUUCCAUCUUCAAACGCUUGAUCAUUGAUGCUCCCUUUUCUCUUCUCUCUCCUCCUGGGAAAAGAGAAGGACCAAUAUCCCCCUUUCCCUUCCUCCUGUGCUGUCCCAACCCCUCUGAGACCUGGCUCUAGCAGUAAGUCCCUCUCUCUUCUGCAGCACCAGCCUCUGCCCAUCCCUGCCCUCUGCACACAAAGCUCUCACAUUGUCUGCACUUUAAGAAAUUUUGUGGCAAACCCUGGCAAAUCCUGCCACUUGUUUCCACUCUUCUCAAAUGGCUUUGAGGUCAUCAUUGACCUAUCCCAUUUGACCCUGUCCUGUAUCUGAUGUUGUACCCUUUCUCCUUGAUCCCACUCUGGCAACUCUCCCACUCCCCUUUCUUGGAUCAACUGUCUUGCUCCUCAGUCUUGAUCAAUGCCUCCUUCUCUCUCUUUAGCCUUGGCCCUUUUUG